GCAAUGGUGGCUCAAUGGUAGAAUUCUUGCCUUCCAUGCUGGAGAUCUGGGUUCAGUUCCUGGCCAAUGCA
rnacentral:tRNA from 1 species